rnacentral:rRNA from 1 species
CAGGGAUUGCCUCAGUAACGGCGAGUGAAGCGGCAACAGCUCAAAUUUUAAAGCUGGCGUCUUCGGCGCCCGCGUUGUAAUUUGGAGAGGCAUCUUCGGUUUGGGCGCCAGCCUAUGUUCCUUGGAACAGGACGUCACAGAGGGUGAGAAUCCCGUGCUUGGCUGGCUGUCCCUUGCCAUGUGAAGUGCCUUCGACGAGUCGAGUUGUUUGGGAAUGCAGCUCAAAAUGGGUGGUAAAUUCCAUCUAAAGCUAAAUAUUGGCGGGAGACCGAUAGCGCACAAGUAGAGUGAUCGAAAGAUGAAAAGCACUUUGAAAAUAGAGUUAAAAAGUACGUGAAAUUGUUGAAAGGGAAGCGCUUGAGACCAGACUCGGCCGGAGAUGAUCAGCCGUCCUUCUGGGCGGUGCACUUGUCUCCGGUCGGGCCAGCAUCGGUUGAGACGGCGGGAUAAAGGCCCGGGGAAUGUGGCUCCUUUCGGGGAGUGUUAUAGCCCCGGGCGCAAUGCCGCCAGCCUCGACCGAGGACCGCGCUUUUUGCUAGGAUGCUGGCGUAAUGGUCUUCAGCGACCCGUCUUGAAACACGGACCAAGGAGUCUAACAUCUAUGCGAGUGUUUGGGUGUCAAACCCUUGCGCGUAAUGAAAGUGAACGGAGGUGGGAACCCCCUCGCGGGGCGCACCAUCGACCGGUCCUGAUGUCUUCGGAUGGAUCUGAGUAGGAGCAUAGCUGUUGGGACCCGAAAGAUGGUGAACUAUGCCUGAAUAGGGUGAAGCCAGAGGAAACUCUGGUGGAGGCUCGCAGCGGUUCUGACGUGCAAAUCGAUCGUCAAAUUUGGGUAUAGGGGCGAAAGACUAAUCGA